rnacentral:rRNA from 1 species
AUUGAACGCUGGCGGCAUGCUUUACACAUGCAAGUCGAACGGCAGCGCGGGCUUCGGCCUGGCGGCGAGUGGCGAACGGGUGAGUAAUGCAUCGGAACGUGCCCAGCAGUGGGGGAUAGCCCGGCGAAAGCCGGAUUAAUACCGCAUACGACCUGAGGGUGAAAGCGGGGGACCGAAAGGCCUCGCGCUAUUGGAGCGGCCGAUGUCGGAUUAGCUAGUUGGUGGGGUAAAGGCUUACCAAGGCGACGAUCCGUAGCUGGUCUGAGAGGACGACCAGCCACACUGGGACUGAGACACGGCCCAGACUCCUACGGGAGGCAGCAGUAGGGAAUUUUGGACAAUGGGGGCAACCCUGAUCCAGCCAUGCCGCGUGCGGGAAGAAGGCCUUCGGGUUGUAAACCGCUUUUGUUCGGGAAGAAAUCCUCUGGGCUAAUACCCCGGGGGGAUGACGGUACCGGAAGAAUAAGCACCGGCUAACUACGUG